rnacentral:rRNA from 1 species
AAGAACAAAUGUGUAAGUAACUAUGCACGUCUUGACGGUACCUAAUCAGAAAGCCACGGCUAACUACGUGCCAGCAGCCGCGGUAAUACGUAGGUGGCAAGCGUUAUCCGGAAUUAUUGGGCGUAAAGCGCGCGUAGGCGGUUUUUUAAGUCUGAUGUGAAAGCCCACGGCUCAACCGUGGAGGGUCAUUGGAAACUGGAAAACUUGAGUGCAGAAGAGGAAAGUGGAAUUCCAUGUGUAGCGGUGAAAUGCGCAGAGAUAUGGAGGAACACCAGUGGCGAAAGGCGACUUUCUGGUCUGUAACUGACGCUGAUGUGCGAAAAGCGUGGGGAUCAAAACAGGAUUAGAUACCCUGGUAGUCCACGCCGUAAACGAUGAAUGCUAAGUGUU